UACACCUGUGUAUGUUUUUAUGGACAAAGACCAACAUACGGGACAAAAAAUAAAUUCUUUAGCAACCCAGGGCUUUUUGAUCAGUAUGAGUUUUGAUACAUGCAAGCAGGAAUAGG
ensembl:snoRNA